rnacentral:rRNA from 1 species
UACAGAGGGGGCAAGCGUUGUUCGGAUUUACUGGGCGUAAAGGGCGCGUAGGCGGCACCGCAAGUCGACUGUGAAAUCUCCGGGCUUAACCCGGAAAGGUCAGCCGAUACUGCGGGGCUAGAGUGCAGAAGGGGCAACUGGAAUUCUCGGUGUAGCGGUGAAAUGCGUAGAUAUCGAGAGGAACACCUGCGGCGAAGGCGGGUUGCUGGGCUGACACUGACGCUGAUGCGCGAAAGCUAGGGGAGCGAACGGG